GUAGCAAUACCACCGGCGGACGGGUGCGUAACGCGUGGGAAUGUACCUAUUGGUUCGGAACAACUGAGGGAAACUUCAGCUAAUACCGAAUGAGCCCGUAAGGGGAAAGAUUUAUCGCCAAUGGAUCAGCCCGCGUUCGAUUAGCUAGUUGGUGAGGUAAUGGCUCACCAAGGCGACGAUCGAUAGCUGUUCUGAGAGGAAGAUCAGCCACACUGGGACUGAGACACGGCCCAGACUCCUACGGGAGGCAGCAGUUGGGAAUCUUGGACAAUGGGGGAAACCCUGAUCCAGCCAUGCCGCGUGAGUGAUGAAGGCCUUCGGG
rnacentral:rRNA from 1 species